UUACCUGCGCAGAGCAAAAUCGGUUGUAGAUUAUAUCCACGAAAAUUCCUUCUAUUAAAAUGAAUUUCAAGUCCCACCUACCCUGGAAGCAGAAAGAGAGAGAAGAGAGAGAGUAAAGAGAAAGAGAAAAGAAAGAGAAGUUGAAAAAGAGAAAGAAAACCAAGAAAGAAAGAGAAAAAAACCGAAAAUAAAUGGACAAGAAAGAAAAACGGUGAAGGUCAACCCUGUGCUCAAUUCCAGAGACUUUCCUAGGGACAUCGUGUUGGGCAUGGAGGACUAAGGCCAGUGUGAAGAUAAGUCACCGAUUCUUUAAAAAAAAAAAGCCAGUAACUUAUAAAAAUAGCCAUAAACGACGUAGUUUUUUGUUGUUGUUGUUGUUUUGAGACAGCGUCUCCCUCUGUCCCCCAGGCGGGAGUACAGUGGCAGGCACUCAGCUCACUGUAACCUCCGCCUCCUGGGUUCAAGUGAUUCUCUUGCCCCAGCCUCCAGAGUAGCCACCACGCCCGGUCCAACUUAGUUUUUUAAUACUUUUUAAAAUUUUAAGACAGGGUCUCUGCCACCGAGGCUGAAAUGCAGUGGCGCAAUCAUAGCUCACUGCAACCUUGACUUCCUGGGGUCCUGGGCAGGUGACCCCCUGUCUCAGCCUGCCGAGUAGCUGUGAGUAAAGGCCUGUGCCUCUCCACUGUGCUAAUUUUCUACUGUUUGUUGCUUUGUUUUUAAUAGAGAUGUAGUCUGGUUUUGUUGCCCAGGCUGGUCUCCAGCUUCUAGCCUCAAGCAGUCUUCCCAUCUGCUCCUACCAAAGUGCUCGGAUUAUAGGCAUGAAUCACCUUGCAUGGG
rnacentral:lncRNA from 10 species